rnacentral:rRNA from 1 species
GAGGGGCAUCGGGGCGAGGAGCAAUCCUUGCCGCCGGCGACCGGCGCACGGGUGAGUAACGCGUAUGCGACCUGCCCGUUGCAGGGGGAUAAUCGGGAGAAAUCCCGUCUAAUACCGCGUAAUGCCGCGGGGCUGCAUGGCCCUGCGGCCAAAGGAAGCGAUUCCGGCAACGGAUGGGCAUGCGUGACAUUAGCUAGUUGGCGGGGCAACGGCCCACCAAGGCGACGAUGUCUAGGGGUUCUGAGAGGAAGGUCCCCCACACUGGUACUGAGACACGGACCAGACUCCUACGGGAGGCAGCAGUGAGGAAUAUUGGUCAAUGGGCGCGAGCCUGAACCAGCCAAGUCGCGUGAGAGAUGACGGCCCUACGGGUUGUAAACCUCUUUUGUCGGGGAGCAAAUUCCGCCACGCGUGGCGGAGUCGAGAGUACCCGAAGAAAAAGCAUCGGCUAACUCCGUGCCAGCAGCCGCGGUAAUACGGAGGAUGCGAGCGUUAUCCGGAUUUAUUGGGUUUAAAGGGUGCGUAGGCGGACUGUCAAGUCAGCGGUAAAAUACGGGGGCUCAACCUCCGCCCGCCGUUGAAACUGACGGUCUUGAGUGGGCGAGAAGUAUGCGGAAUGCGUGGUGUAGCGGUGAAAUGCAUAGAUAUCACGCAGAACUCCGAUUGCGAAGGCAGCAUACCGGCGCCCAACUGACGCUGAAGCACGAAAGCGUGGGUAUCGAACAGGAUUAGAUACCCUGGUAGUCCACGCAGUAAACGAUGAAUACUAGCUGUCCGGGGCGAAUGAGCUCUGGGUGGCACAGCGAAAGCGUUAAGUAUUCCACCUGGGGAGUACGCCGGCAACGGUGAAACUCAAAGGAAUUGACGGGGGCCCGCACAAGCGGAGGAACAUGUGGUUUAAUUCGAUGAUACGCGAGGAACCUUACCCGGGCUCAAACGACACAGGAACGGUCCUGAAAGGGGUCGGCUCUACGGAGCCUGUGUCGAGGUGCUGCAUGGUUGUCGUCAGCUCGUGCCGUGAGGUGUCGGCUUAAGUGCCAUAACGAGCGCAACCCCCAUCGACAGUUGCUAACAGAUUAGGCUGAGGACUCUGUCGAGACUGCCGGCGCAAGCUGCGAGGAAGGCGGGGAUGACGUCAAAUCAGCACGGCCCUUACGUCCGGGGCGACACACGUGUUACAAUGGCAGGUACAGCGGGAAGCCACCUGGCGACAGGGAGCGGAACCCGAAAGCCUGUCUCAGUUCGGAUUGGAGUCUGCAACCCGACUCCAUGAAGCUGGAUUCGCUAGUAAUCGCGCAUCAGCCACGGCGCGGUGAAUACGUUCCCGGGC